CUAAUGCUCUGCUGGCGCUGCUGCUGUCAUACGAGUUCGUUGUUAGUGUAGAUUUUGCAGCGAACUCAGCUGCGUUAGCAGCAAAAGUUCUUCAUGUACAUUUCUUAUGGGGUUUGACGCAGAUUUGAAGCCCUGGGCCGUUGUAGUCGCAUCGCUCUUAUGUGGGAAAAUACAAUGUGAGUCGGAUUUUUGGUUUGAAAAGGCAUUUGAAAUGUUCGCAGCAACUGCACAGUAAAACACGCUCGCAGAGAGCCAGAUGGAUGGAGUGCUACUAAUUUAGCGAAAGAAACAUACAGUGGUUUUUUGGUGGUAGAAGAAACGCAAUUCACAAUUUUCAUGUUCGUCUAUUCGGACCUAGGUUUCGGAGGUGCUCGCUCGCUUGUCGCAGUGUGUGCACUAUAUGUCUCGUAACGUUUUUCCUUAAGUUUUUGUUCAAAUCACAAGCAAAAUUAUAAAAAUUAAAUUUUCUAAAAACAAAAUAAAUACAAAAAAAAAAAAAACACAAAUAAACAAAACAAGAAAACCACAAUAAAAAAAGUUAAAAAAUUUUGUAAAACAAAAAAUUACACGGCAUUUUUCACACAUAUUAAUGAAAAUAAACACAAUAAUAACAAAAUUUGCAAAAAUAAAAUUGUUGUAAAAAAGUGCAUUCAAGAAACGCGCAGCAAACGAAAAAUCAGUGUUUAUAUGACAAAAAAAGCGAAAUUUUGUUUAUGCAAACAAACGCCAUUUUAACCGAUAAAUGACAGAUUCUCAUUUUGGAACAAAAAUGUCAACGGAGGAAAUGCAGCAGACAGCAUUAACAACAACUACAACAACAACAUUAAGCAUCAAUAAAAAUAAUGCAGCAAUUUCGAAAGGGCAACAAAUCUCAAUCAAUCACCAAGAGAAAACCCUAAAAGUUGUAA